ACGAUGAGUGCUAAGUGUAGGGGGUUUCCGCCCUUAGUGCUGCAGCUAACGCAUUAAGCACUCGCUGGGGAGUACGACCGCAAGGUUGAAACUCAAAGGAAUUGACGGGGGCCCGCACAGCGGUGGAGCAUGUGGUUUAAUUCGAAGCAACGCGAAGAACCUUACCAGGUCUUGACAUCCUUUGGUCACUCUAGAGAUAGAGCUUUCCCUUCGGGGACAAAGUGACAGGUGGUGCAUGGUUGUCGUCAGCUCGUGUCGUGAGAUGUUGGGUUAAGUCCCGCAACGAGCGCAACCCUUAUUGUUAGUUGCCAUCAUUCAGUUGGGCACUCUAGCGAGACUGCCGGUGACAAACCGGAGGAAGGUGGGGAUGACGUCAAAUCAUCAUGCCCCUUAUGACCUGGGCUACACACGUGCUACAAUGGGAAGUACAACGAGUAG
rnacentral:rRNA from 1 species